AAAAAGGCCCUUUUCAGGGCCAUACAUAAAUGAUUUAAUAAGAUUU
rfam:Stegodyphus mimosarum contig25920, whole genome shotgun sequence.